GUGGGGAAUAUUGGACAAUGGGCGAAAGCCUGAUCCAGCCAUGCCGCGUGUGUGAAGAAGGUCUUCGGAUUGUAAAGCACUUUAAGUUGGGAGGAAGGGCAGUAAGUUAAUACCUUGCUGUUUUGACGUUACCGACAGAAUAAGCACCGGCUAACUUCGUGCCAGCAGCCGCGGUAAUACGAAGGGUGCAAGCGUUAAUCGGAAUUACUGGGCGUAAAGCGCGCGUAGGUGGUUUUGUAAGUUGGAGGUGAAAUCCCCGGGCUCAACCUGGGAACUGCAUCCAAAACUGCAUGACUAGAGGACGAUAGAGGGUAGUGGAAUUUCCUGUGUAGCGGUGAAAUGCGUAGAUAUAGGAAGGAACACCAGUGGCGAAGGCGACUACCUGGACUGAUACUGACACUGAGGUGCGAAAGCGUGGGGAGCAAACAGGAUUAGAUACCCUAGUAGUCC
rnacentral:rRNA from 1 species